CCGAUGGAGGGGGAUAACUACUGGAAACGGUAGCUAAUACCGCAUAACGUCGCAAGACCAAAGAGGGGGACCUUCGGGCCUCUUGCCAUCGGAUGUGCCCAGAUGGGAUUAGCUAGUAGGUGGGGUAACGGCUCACCUAGGCGACGAUCCCUAGCUGGUCUGAGAGGAUGACCAGCCACACUGGAACUGAGACGCGGUCCAG
rnacentral:rRNA from 1 species